CUUUCCUGUGAUGAUGAUUGACGGAAUAAUAUAGGCCAAAACGCCAGAGAGAAAUCCUCCAGUUUUCCUCAGAAAUUGUGCCAUGGAAUCUUUUCCACCUCCUCCAAAGGUCAACACUACUGAUAUGUAGCACCUCUUCAGUAUUUCACCAAUACAUCAGUCAUGAUCUGUGCACUCAAGUCCUGAUCCCACAAUUUUCAAGCAUCUAAGGUUUCUUCACAUUCUACACCUCUCCACGGCUGAUAGCUAAAUCGGAUAGCUUUCUCCCAGACCUCUGCUUCUACCACUGCCUCCUGACCAUCUGCUGUAAAGACCACAAGGUUCAAGCAUAGACUUCCUGCUCUUAUAGUCUAUGACCUGGCCUCCUUCACCGCCGCUCCCUCACCACCAGACGCCUGGAGGAAGAACGCCUCAUCUUAAA